rnacentral:rRNA from 1 species
GUAGGUGGCAAGCGUUGUCCGGAAUUAUUGGGCGUAAAGCGCGCGCAGGCGGUUCUUUAAGUCUGAUGUGAAAGCCCACGGCUCAACCGUGGAGGGUCAUUGGAAACUGGAGAACUUGAGUACAGAAGAGGAAAGCGGAAUUCCACGUGUAGCGGUGAAAUGCGUAGAGAUGUGGAGGAACACCAGUGGCGAAGGCGGCUUUCUGGUCUGUAACUGACGCUGAGGCGCGAAAGCGUGGGGAGCAAACAGGAUUAGAUACCCUGAUAGUCCACGCCGUAAACGAUGAGUGCUAAGUGUUAGGGGGUUUCCGCCCCUUAGUGCUGCAGCUAACGCAUUAAGCACUCCCGCCUGGGAGUACGGCCGCAAGGCUG